rnacentral:rRNA from 1 species
GACGAACGCUGGCGGCGUGCCUAACACAUGCAAGUCGAACGGACAGGCCCUGCGUUUGCGGGUCUCUCGAUUGGCGCACGCGUGAGUAACACGUGUGUAUCCUGCCCUUGUCUUUGGGAUAACUUCUCGAAACUCGGGCUAAUACCGCAUAUGAUCUCCUGCUCCAUGGUGGUGGUUGGAAAGUUUCGGCUGUUCGGGCUGGUCUCGCUGCUUAUCAGCUUGUUGGUCGAGUAGUGGAUUUCCAAGGGUGUGACGGGUAGCCUGCCUGGGAGGGGGACCGGGGACCAUGGGCCUGCGGUAGGGACCAGAAUGCAACGGGAGGCAGCGGGGGGGAACAUGGCGGAAUGGGCGGAAGUGUGAGGCAGCAACGUCGCGUGCGGGAUGACGGCCUUCGGGUUGUAAACCGAUUUGGAAUGUGACGAAGAGGGAGUGACGGUAAUGGGUAAAGAAGCACCGGCUAACUACGUG